rnacentral:rRNA from 1 species
AUUGAACGCUGGCGGCAUGCUUUACACAUGCAAGUCGAACGGUAACAGGCCUUCGGGCGCUGACGAGUGGCGAACGGGUGAGUAAUGCAUCGGAACGUGCCCAGUCGUGGGGGAUAACUAUCCGAAAGGAUAGCUAAUACCGCAUACGAUCUGCGGAUGAAAGCGGGGGACCUUCGGGCCUUGCGCGAUUGGAGCGGCCGAUGUCAGAUUAGGUAGUUGGUGGGGUAAAGGCUCACCAAGCCAACGAUCUGUAGCUGGUCUGAGAGGACGACCAGCCACACUGGGACUGAGACACGGCCCAGACUCCUACGGGAGGCAGCAGUGGGGAAUCUUGCGCAAUGGGCGAAAGCCUGAUGCAGCGACGCCGCGUGGGGGAAGAAGGCUUUCGGGUUGUAAACCCCUUUCAGGAAGGACGAAGCCACUCGGGUGAAUAGCCCAGAGGGUGACGGUACUUCCAGAAGAAGCCCCGGCUAACUACGUGCCAGCAGCCGCGGUAAGAC